rnacentral:rRNA from 1 species
GACAGAGGGUGGCAACGUUGCUCGGAAUCACUGGGCGUAAAGGGCGUGUAGGCGGGAAGGAAAGUCAGAUGUGAAAUCCCUGGGCUCAACCCAGGAACUGCAUUUGAAACUCCCUUUCUUGAGUGUCGGAGAGGAAAGUGGAAUUCCUGGUGUAGAGGUGAAAAUUCGUAGAUAUCAGGAGGAACACCGGUGGCGAAGGCGGCUUUCUGGACGACAACUGACGCUGAGACGCGAAAGCCGUGGGGAGCAAACAGG